rnacentral:rRNA from 1 species
ACCUUGUACAGGGGAAUAGCCCAGGGAAACUUGGAUUAAUGCCCCGUGGUACCAUGACCCGGCAUCGGGAUAUGGUUAAAGCCUUCGGGCGGUACAAGAUGGCCAUGCGUCCCAUUAGUUUGUUGGUAAGGUAACGGCUUACCAAGACUACGAUGGGUAGGGGCCCUGAGAGGGGGAUCCCCCACACUGGUACUGAGACACGGACCAGACUCCUACGGGAGGCAGCAGUGAGGAAUAUUGGACAAUGGAGGAGACUCUGAUCCAGCCAUGCCGCGUGCAGGAAGAAUGCCCUAUGGGUAGUAAACUGCUUUUAUACGGGAAGAAAAAGAGCUACGUGUAGCUUACUGACCGUACCGUAAGAAUAAGGACCGGCUAACUCCGUGCCAGCAGCCGCGGUAAUACGGAGGGCCCGAGCGUUAUCCGGAAUUAUUGGGUUUAAAGGGUCCGUAGGCGGGCCGAUAAGUCAGGGGUGAAAGUCUGCCGCUCAACGGUAGAACUGCCUUUGAUACUGUCGGUCUUGAGUUAUAGUGAAGUUGCCGGAAUAUGUAGUGUAGCGGUGAAAUGCAUAGAUAUUACAUAGAACACCGAUUGCGAAGGCAGGUGACUAACUAUAUACUGACGCUGAUGGACGAAAGCGUGGGGAGCGAACAGGAUUAGAUACCCUGGUAGUCCACGCCGUAAACGAUGGAUACUAGCUGUCCGGAACCUUGAGUUCUGGGCGGCCAAGCGAAAGUGAUAAGUAUCUCACCUGGGGAGUACGUUCGCAAGAAUGAAA